GCAGGGCUGGGGCGGUGACGCGUGCCGCCCCCAGGACCCGAGGACCCGAGGACCCGGGAGGGGAGCUGCGCCCCGGGUGGACAGGUGCGCGCCGAUCUCGCGCGCCUUCCUUGUUCCUGCCUCUGGAAGAGCUCACUCUUGCGAGGUCUUUCCCUCGCGGGCUCCUGAGCCGACGUGGUUGAGUUCGGACGGUUGGGAAGGGUGACGCCCGUGUAACGGGGCGCCUCCCGGGAGCCGGGGCCCCAACGCCUUGCGUCCGCUGGGCGAGGUGAAGAGCCCAGAGCGAAGGGGCAAAGUCCAGGAUUACAGUAUUCAUAUUGAAUCAUUUUGUUGCUGCUCGUUGACGAUAAGUAUGCUUCAGAUAAGAACCACACUGAUACGAUGUCUGGCCGAUUAACUGCAGUGGACAGGGGUCUAAGAGCUGUUCUCUGUGAAGAAAGUGAUUCGUAAGUUCGGCAUAGCAGGCAUACACUGUGCCCGUCCUGGCUCCUGGUUCCGAACGGAUUCCUCAGCAGCUGUGUUCUGGCUGUGCUUAUUUUCAUUUCUCCAAAGCCCUAACUUUCCUGGGCAUAGAGAUGCUGCUGCCACCAGCUUUCCUGGUGAGUUCCAAAGGCAGAGGUGUUUGCCGUUUGAUUUGCAGUGAGCUCUUGGCAUGCCCUCAUUUGUAUGUAUUACAUUUGUAUUUCUUUUCAUUUAGAGGCAGGAUGGUAGAGUGGAAAGACUGGGAACUGUCAAGAAGCCAGAGUUCUGAUCCCCUUUCUGUUACAUGCUAGCUCGGGCAGAUCAGGACCCCUCCCCAACCUAUAAAAUGGAAGGCCUACACUCGGCCUGUCGGCUCCUGUCUAAUGCUGACGUUCUGUGAUGAAUCUGACUUGAGUAACAUAAGUGGACUGCACAGGAUUGUGCACAAAGCUGAUUUGGAGGGAGGUCUGGGUUUGAGUCUUUCCUCUGCAGGUGGUCUGAUGGUGGGCCAGUCAGUCUCCCUUGGGGCUCGGCAUCUUCAUCUGUAAAAUGGGAACACUACUCACACUCCUGUGAGGAUUAGAUUUGAUCAUGGAUAUUGGAAUGCUUUGUCCAUGGGAAGGAGUAUCACUUGCUUUGACAGCAAAGAAGAGCAUGGAAGCCUCAACCAGUAGGUGCACAUCUGUUACCGUGACACAGUCGACUGCUGGCGUCCAGCCGUCCUCCAGCGGGCACGUUACAGAACCGCAGGGAAGGUUUUCCUCCUGUCCUGUCCUAAGACAGUUAUCUUCUUUCCUCAUCUCUUACCUUUUCUUCUCUCCCCAUGUCCACCUCUACCCCAGUGAUUUCUCCCCAUCUCCACCUCUGUAUUAUUUGAACUAAAUGAUGCCUGUCUGAACAGAUAGACGGAUGGCUGAAUGGUAGUGGAUGACAGACUGUGAAGCACAUUUAAAGGCCCUGUCUCAUUGAAAACUAAAUAAAGAACUACAACGAUGUCUGCAAUUGUGUAUUUAUAUUGGACUUUGUGUUAUAUAACUAUUUUAAUGGAUAGCCUUUUGUAUUCAUAGUAUUCACAGUAACUUCAUGGUGUGGGGGAGGGGAAGGCCUUUAAGCCCCAUAAGCUCUAUUAACUUAUCAAAUGUUCCCCAAUACUUUCAGCAGAAUGUUCCUUAAAACUGUGCCGAUGUGGGUUUCUGUCAUACCUGACUAGAUUGCCUCCUGAACCCGAGAACCAGGACAAUCUCUAGCCGGGCUGAUGGGCCUCACUGACUUAGUCGUGAAAUCGGACGUGUCUGGAGUUAGCAGCAAUAGUCCGAUUUCAGCAUUUUUACUGUUGUUUUACCUGAACUGAACAUUGAGAACCUUUAAGUGCAACUUCUGAAAUUGAAAUUGGAGUACUGCUGCUCUGGGAUUCCUGUCUGUCUCAUUCCCGUUGCCUCUGCUUUUUAAAGUACUGUCUUCCUUCCACUUGUGGCACAACUUGGUCAGGGCUCAGACGGGAAGAAAAUUUAGUAAACUGCUGAAUUGUUUUUCUUGACUUUUAUUCCCAAAGUUUGGUAAGCUGACACUUCUGUUGAAUAUUUAAGAUUUUUAAUUAGUAACAUAGUACCUGAGUUUUGUUACUUGGUAUGAAUUCUCUCUCAAGACUUCUGAAAUUUUUAUUAAAUAAAAGCUAACUUUACUUGCUGAAUGUCGCUGUCAAGGAAGAACACCAACUUUAGUGGCGCUCCUUUGGGAGUUGAAAUGGAAAAAACAAAAUUCCUGAACAAGGUAAUUAUGCUUUUUCUGUUGUGUAAAUGAACUCUUAGUUUUACAUAUUAAGUGUAGGCCAAUAGAGGGUUAUAAAAUGACCAAAUAAAUUCAUAACCAUUGAC
ensembl:lncRNA